GUGGGGAAUCUUCCGCAAUGGACGAAAGUCUGACGGAGCAACGCCGCGUGAGUGAAGAAGGUUUUCGGAUCGUAAAGCUCUUUCGUUAGGGACGAACGUGCUCUUUGUGAAUAAUGAGGAGUAAUGACGGUACCUAAAUAAGAAGCCACGGCUAACUACGUGCCAGCAGCCGCGGUAAUACGUAGGUGGUAAGCGUUGUCCGGAAUUAUUGGGCGUAAAGCGCGCGCAGGCGGGAUAGCAAGUCUGUCUUAAAAGUGCGAGGCUCAACCUCGUGAGGGGACGGAAACUGGUAUUCUUGAGUGUCGGAGAGGAAAGUGGAAUUCCAAGUGUAGCGGUGAAAUGCGUAGAGAUUUGGAAGAACACCAGUGGCGAAGGCGACUUUCUGGACGAUGUCUGACGCUGAGGCGCGAAAGCUAGGUGAGCGAACGGGAUUAGAUACCCCUGUAGUCC
rnacentral:rRNA from 1 species